AAGCAGUGAUGAUAGACUUAUGUAUGAAAAUAUGAUGUAUAAUAUUAUACGCUAUACUGAGCUUUUG